UGCCAAGCAGCCGCGGUAAUACCAGCUUCCUUAGUCUUUACGAAUGUUGUUGCAGUUAAAAAGCUCGUAGUUGAACUUCUGCGGGGAGCUCCUGGCCCGGCGGCUUUGCCGUUGAGUGCCGGUGCGCUCCUCGCUUUUGUAGUCGGUUUGGCUCGUGGGGGCGUUAAAACCCUUGCGCGCUUCGGCUACCCGUUACUUUGAACAAAUCGGAGUGCUCAAAGCAGGCUAGCGCCUGAACGCACAGCAUGGAAUAACAAGAUAGGACUCUUUCUCUUCUUGUUGGUUCCUGUGAGAGAGUAAUGAUUGAUAGGAACGGAGCGGGGGCGUUUGUAUUCCGUGGCCAGAGGUGAAAUUCUUGGAUUCGCGGAAGACAAACUCAUGCGAAAGCGCUCGCCAAGUACGUCUCCUUUAAUCAAGAGCGAAAGUCUGGGGAUCGAAGAUGAUCAGAUACCAUCGUAGUCCAGACCGUAAACGAUGCCAGCCCGCGAUCGGACGGACUCGAUUAUGACUCGUUCGGCAGCGUGAGGGAAACUAGAGCUUUUGGGUUCUGGGGGGAAUAUGGUCGCAAGGCUGAAACUUAAAGAAAUUGACGGAAGGGCACCACCAGGAGUGGAACCUGCGGCUUAAUUUGACUCAACACGGGAAAACUCACCAGGGCAGGACACAGUGAGGAUUGACAAGCUGAAGACUUUUCUUGAUUCUGUGGAUGGUGGUGCAUGGCCGUUCUUAGUUGGUGGAGUGAUUUGUCUGGUUUAUUCCGUUAACGAACGAGACCUCGAUUUGCUAAAUAGCGUCCGUCAUUUUCGGAUGGCGCGAAGCUUCUUAGAGAGACUGCUGGUGUGGAGCCAGAGGAAGUUCGAGGCAAUAACAGGUCUGUGAUGCCCAAGG
rnacentral:rRNA from 1 species